UACGGGGGGCAAGCGUUGUUCGGAAUUACUGGGCGUAAAGCGCACGUAGGCGGACUAUUAAGUCAGGGUGAAAUCCCGGGGCUCAACCCCGGAACUGCCUUUGAUACUGGUAGUCUCGAGUCCGGAAGAGGUGAGUGGAAUUCCGAGUGUAGAGGUGAAAUUCGUAGAUAUUCGGAGGAACACCAGUGGCGAAGGCGGCUCACUGGUCCGGUACUGACGCUGAGGUGCGAAAGCGUGGGAGCAACAGG
rnacentral:rRNA from 1 species